rnacentral:rRNA from 1 species
UACGACUACAUAUCAGGCAUAUCAAUAAGCGGAGGAAAAGAAACUAACAAGGAUUCCCCUAGUAACGGCGAGUGAAGCGGGAAGGAGCUCAAAUUUGAAAUCUUAAAGGGUUUCCCUUUACGAAUUGUAGUUUAAAGAAGUGUUUUCUGUUGGAGUUUCGGUAAAAGUUCUUUGGAAUAGGACAUCAUAGAGGGUGAGAAUCCCGUAUUUGACCGUUACUUUCCAGCUGUGUGAUACACUUUCAAAGAGUCGGAUUGUUUGGGAAUGCAGUCCAAAAUGGGUGGUAAAUUUCAUCUAAAGCUAAAUAUUGGCGAGAGACCGAUAGCGAACAAGUACCGUGAGGGAAAGAUGAAAAGAACUUUGAAAAGAGAGUUAAACAGUACGUGAAAUUGUCAAAAGGGAAGCGUUUGACACCAGUGUUGUUUAGUUGAAAAUCAAUUCAAUAGUUUUUGAUCCUAAGUAGUAUUGACUUCAUCAGCUUGCUGCUUUCUUCUCAGAAAUUAUUGAAUGCACUUUUCAGUUAACAAGUCAACAUCAAUUUCUUUUGUUGUAAAAGGGUAAGAGGAAGGUGGCUUGCGCUUCGGCUCAAGUGUUUAUAGCCUUUUAUCUCUGCAAUCGGAGAGAUUGAGGUCUGCAGCGUAGAUCCUUCGGGGUUAGAUACAUUGGUGCUAAGCUAUAGCCUUGUAUAGACAACUUGUUGACUAUGCUCAGUCAUGUAGCUUACUCGCUGAUGCUAUUUUACCUACGCUUAGGAUGUUGAGUAGCGACAUACGCAC